rnacentral:lncRNA from 1 species
UGCAGUUAUACUCCUGAAUACUACUCCUAAGGGUAUGUGCAAUGGUUGAUUUGGUAGUUUUUUCUUAUGUGUUUCACGUCAUUUAGAAAAGAUAAGAAAACAUAUUAUACAAUAGGUCAUCUCUUAUUGCCUUAUCUUACAAUUAAUGGUUAGAUGAAUAAAAUAAAAUAAAAUAAAAUAAAUGUUAAGAAAAGGUGAAAUCUAGUACAAUAGGGAAUUUGUCUUUUUUUAACUUAUCCUUCUUGUGAAU